rnacentral:misc_RNA from 1 species
AUACUCAGCUUCAGCUGAGGAUCUGCUUAUUGUGGUCUGCUUUUUGGCUUUCUAGGAGAUUAACGAAGGUCCUAAGAAAAUACAAAAUCCUGUAAUAGAUUUUCUGCUCAUAGAACAAGACGCCCAAUCUGCAUCGCAGAAGGCUCGAAGCUUCAGAUCAUUUUCUUGAGGGAAGAAUAAGCUUUUGGAGGGGCAUCCUUUCAAGUAUUUGAUGAUAUGGAUGGCUGCGUCCCAGUGUGGUUUGCGAGGAGCUUGCAUAAACUGGCUCAGCUUCUGAGUAGCAUAUGAAAGAUCCGGCCUUGAAGUCCCAGGUAUAACAAUUUUCCUAUAAGCCUUCUGUAUUUGUCGGGGUCUGUCAUCAAUUCUCCAUUUUCAUUAUCUAGCUUCAAUCCUUUUGGCAUAGGAUAAGGGCUUGUUUUGGCAUUUUGUAAUCCCAUGUCUUGGAUUAUAUCCAAGAUGUAUUUGCGCUGGCUCAGGAACAUGCCCAUGUCCUAGCUAUUUCAAGACCUAAAAAGUACUUGGCAUAGCCUAGGUCUUUGAUUGUGAAUUGGUCAUCUAGGAAUUUCUUAACUUUUAUAAUCCCAUGUCCUGGCUAUUUCAAGACCUAAAAAGUACUUGGCAUAGCCUAGGUCUUUGAUUGUGAAUUGGUCAUCUAGGAAUUUCUUAACUUUUAUAAUCCCAUGUCCUG